rnacentral:misc_RNA from 1 species
GAUAUCCCAAGCCUUGCUGCAGGUAUCAUUUUGCUGCCAUUACAUUAUUUUGAAUAGUUUGCAUGUCCAGAAAAAUGAAAUGAAAGGGUGGGGCCAACACACAACUGUCUACAGGGGCUUAUCUGGCAUAUACAAAUAGUUCAAAGUAGUGAUGUCCAGAGUUAGAAGCAAUAUAUUUCUUGUCAUAAUCAUGAUUUACAUACUUAAAACUUUUUU